rnacentral:rRNA from 1 species
UGGGGAAUUUUGCGCAAUGGGGGAAACCCUGACGCAGCAACGCCGCGUGAGUGAUGAAGGCCUUCGGGUCGUAAAGCUCUGUCAGAGGGGAAGAAAUGCAGGGGUGCUAAUAUCAUCUUUGCUUGACGGUACCCUCAAAGGAAGCACCGGCUAACUCCGUGCCGGCAGCCGCGGUAAUACGGAGGGUGCGAGCGUUGUUCGGAAUUAUUGGGCGUAAAGCGCGUGUAGGCGGUUUGAUAAGUCUGAUGUGAAAGCCCCGGGCUCAACCUGAGAAGUGCAUUGGAAACUGUCAGACUUGAAUACGGGAGAGGGUAGUGGAAUUCCUAGUGUAGGAGUGAAAUCCGUAGAUAUUAGGAGGAACACCGGUGGCGAAGGCGGCUACCUGGACCGAUAUUGACGCUGAGACGCGAAAGCGUGGGGAGCAAACAG